UUUGAUGACAAAAUCGAAAGGAGGAAAAAAAUGUUCUAAAAAAUAAAAUGGAAUAAAAUGGAGUUCAAGCAUAACUGCAGAAACACGUGGGACUGGCUUAUACGUUUGCGCGAGUGGUACUGAUAUCGGGAAGUGAGAAAAAAAAAGGUAAAAAAUCCCCUAAGAAUAAUUCCACUUGUUUAUCCAAGCAAAGGUCCCCAAAGGUUAACAUUAUCCCGGAAAUGUGAAGUUGUUGUAGGAAAAAAAAAAAGUAAAGAGAUUUCGGACGUGACGCAAAUAAUAAAUUUCCCCCGACGAGAUAAUCUCCUUUGCUUCGUCACCUAAUAAAAUUUUUCUUAACUUUAUAUAUCCCCAUUUUUCUUUUCCCCUUUUUUCUUGUCCAUUCUUCUAACUUUUCUCACGGUAACUUUUUAACUUUCUCCAUUUGAUACUAACGCCAGUGAUCUCCAGGGUAUAUAACCGUGAUGUGUUAUAUUUUAUAUUACACAUUAAUUAAAUUAGAAGAACGAUACACCGCUAACAGCUGGCAGUGACAAGCGUGAUUUUCGAUGUAUCGAUCGGGCUUAACAUGCCAGCGGCAUACUCCAGCCACGUCGUAAAUUUUCAAUAUCACUGGAUAAUCUAAAUUUAAUAAGGAAAAUUAAUUUUUGGUUCAUUUCAGAGAAUGCGAGAGAAAUCCAAUUGCAUCCGUGAAAACAUAACACAAUCUACAAACGCAUCAAUAAAAAUUAAUUUAUGGCCUAACUUGCAUCAUAUUGCGAACUUCGGGAUUCUUAAACUUGAGGCAAGAUUUCCGUGCACAUCUUAGAUGCAUUUUUCUCCAUUACCUCAGCGAUACUUUAUCCAAUUUUCGAUGCACACAUAUUUCCGGCGAAAUCCCAAGUAUGUUCUAGACGAUGAUUAAUCGCAAUCCUACAAACGCAUAUUAAACGCGUUCUUCAAAUAUCUCGAGAAAGCGGAUCGAGAAAAUUUGAUUUAGCUUGCUUUAAAUCACGCGCUCGAGCAUAAUAAAUCAUGAUGAUAAUUAUUAUGAUCUUCGUUAAUGACCGAGAGACCCCGAGCGGAUGUAAAAAGGUCUCAGAAAAUAUACGAUUACACCCGAUAAAUUUUACAGUCACUCAACUUGGGUGGGUGAAGACCGAGUCACGGAUAGGAAACAGGCAUCUGUAAUUGUCGCCUUAAUGUCACUCGCAGAGGGUCUCCUUCUUCUGUAUCCCGAGUAAGUCAUUUGCCAUGACGUGUGUCGUGCGGAAAACGUCUUGUGCAUUCAGAAACAGCUGUUUUAGUGCUCUUUUCGGUUAUAAAUAAGUGUUCUUAAAGUGGAUCAGUCACUCAAGAGAGUACGAGCGUGGAGAAUGCAUGGGUUCUUAUGAUAUUGCAAAUCUUGGCACGCAGCCAAUAAUGUGUACCCGAACCGCAAGGCACGGAGAAGAAAAGGGGAAAAAAAGAAGAAACCUAGAGAGAGAAAGAGAGAGAGGGAGAGAGGGAGAGAGAGGCGGGAUAAAAGCCAGACUUCCGAAUGAUGCGGUUUCUAGGUUGGAAUUUGAAAUUCAUCGCCAUCAGGUCGAACGAGCCGCGUGUAAAGAAAAUGCUGCAACGUUUGUUCCAGAAUUAUUCACUGUUGUGAGAAACGCAUGCAACGCAGAAAAACGUAGCGGCAUAUAAAUUACAAAGAAUAAAAGGUCAAUUAAAAAAAUACACGUUUAUUAUUUUAAAAACAAUAUGAAUAUAUUUCAAUGUGUUGUAUGAGCAGAUAAAACCUCCCAUGUAUGGAAAAACGAUGAUAAGAGAAACAAUUUUCUGGUGGAACGAUAAGGAUUCAAUGCCGACGGCAUUGUGCAACACCUGAGAAACGCAUGCAACGUAAAAGACGUCGAGUAAUGGCAUAAAUUAUUUCAAAGACUAAAAGGUUCACUUAAAAAGACCGCAAGAAACAAUUUCUCAAGUGUUUUCUUAUUUCAAGAAAGCACGGACCUAUAUUUGCACGUGUGUGCUGUGUGAACAGAUAAGAUCUUUCAAAUGUAAAAAAAAAUACGAUAGUCAAAGAAACAAUUUUCUGGUGGAACGAUAAGGAUUCAAUGCCGACGAUAUUGUACAACAUCUCUCGGUUAACACCUACUCCCCGUAUUAAAGGCGCAGUAAAAGGCAGGUGGACCUGGGUAAUUGAAGCGGCUCGUAUGUCAUGCCGGAAGCCGAGUAUCGUUGACCCCGUCGGGGCUCCUAAUAGAAAAUCCGACGGCGCUGUCGCCCCUGCAUAAAUCGCCCAUUUACCUCGGCCAGCCGAGUGGCUGGCGGCCACUACGAGCUCCUGUCGCAAGAUAAAUCACCUGGUAAUCACGAUUAUCACCAUCGAUCACCGUCGAUCACCAGGCUAAAGACUAUAGAAAGAGGUCAAAUAAAUUCAUUAACGACAUCACAGCAAGACACAUUAAUACCCAAACGGAGUCCUCGUCGAGUUCUGCGUUAAUUAGAAGGAGAAAUAACUGUAAUAAGAGCAUUGCGAUGUAUUUCGAAUUCAUGUAAUUCGUGUAAUGCGCAUUUCGUUCCGUUAUAACUCAUUCUUUUUGAUUUAAU
rnacentral:lncRNA from 1 species